rnacentral:tRNA from 1 species
GUGAGUGUAGCUCAGUGGUAGAGCACUUGCCUAGCAUAUGCAAGGCCCUGGGUUCCAUCCCCAGCAUUACACA